CAGCCGCCGCGGUAAUACGGAGGGCGCGAGCGUUGUCCGGAUUCACUGGGCGUAAAGCGGGUGUAGGCGGUUGGGCAAGUCGGACGUGAAAGCCCGGGGCUCAACCCCGGAAGGGCGUCCGAAACUGCUCAACUUGAGGACGGGGGAGGGAGGUGGAAUUCCCGGUGUAGCGGUGAAAUGCGUAGAUAUCGGGGGGAACACCAGGGGCGAAGGCGGCCUCCUGGCCCGUUCCGGCCGCUGAGACCCGAAAGCGUGGGGAGAAAACCGGAUUAGAUCCCCGGGUAGCCCACGCCGUAAACGGUGGGCACUAGGUGUGGGGGGUUAAUCCCUCCGUGCCGAAGCUAACGCAUUAAGUGCCCCGCCUGGGGAGUACGGCCGCAAGGUUGAAACUUAAAGGAAUUGGCGGG
rnacentral:rRNA from 1 species